CCUACGGGUGGCAGCGGUGAGGAAUAUUGGUCAAUGGACGCGAGUCUGAACCAGCCAAGUAGCGUGAAGGAUGACUGCCCUAUGGGUUGUAAACUUCUUUUAUAUGGGAAUAAAAUGUUCCACGUGUGGGAUUUUGUAUGUACCAUAUGAAUAAGGAUCGGCUAACUCCGUGCCAGCAGCCGCGGUAAUACGGAGGAUCCGAGCGUUAUCCGGAUUUAUUGGGUUUAAAGGGAGCGUAGGUGGAUUGUUAAGUCAGUUGUGAAAGUUUGCGGCUCAACCGUAAAAUUGCAGUUGAUACUGGCAGUCUUGAGUACAGUAGAGGUGGGCGGAAUUCGUGGUGUAGCGGUGAAAUGCUUAGAUAUCACGAAGAACUCCGAUUGCGAAGGCAGUUCACUGGACUGCAACUGACACUGAGGCUCGAAAGUGUGGGUAUCAAACAGGAUUAGAUACCCUUGUAGUC
rnacentral:rRNA from 1 species